rnacentral:lncRNA from 10 species
UUCUUGGUGAUCCACAGCUUCUUUAACCAAUGCCUUUCUGUUUUCUAUCACCCUCUCCACCAUCCGUUUGUUUUUUUCCUCUUUCUCCCUCAUAUCUUUGGUGUCCUUGAGGCACCUCCACAUCCUCAUUUGUAUCUAAUUACUGAGUAUGAGGAAGAUUAACUUACUGUUCUUGUAGGCUAAAUAGACAAACCAAAAGUUAAAUUUAUUACAACAUUGGAAUUGUUUUCAAUAUGCAAAAUAAGGGAAACUUUAGGGAAUAAUAUUGUCUAGGAUGCUAAUACCUUUUAUCAUGUCUUGAAAUAUUCCCUCUGACAAGCAGGAAAAAUUUUUUUUCCUAUAUUCUAUGGGAAGGCUGCUUUCAAAAAGAUAAUCUUGACACUAAUUUAGAGAAAGGAAUGGGAAAAAAUGAAUAAUCAAAUUUUUUCAAGGUUUUAUGUUAAUAUAUGAAAUAAAUAGAAUAAAAUAUAAUACUUGGAAUAAAACAAUUUGAAUUCAACAAAUACAAGCCUGAACUGGUAAAAGCUUGGCCUGAGCAGAUCAGAAGAAAAGAGUGGUUCAGGAACAAAUGGAUAGUUCUGACUCUCAUAUGACUCAUCUCUGUUAAAUCAAUGCCUCUUCCUCAAGUCACACAUAUGGCCUCACAGGGAAUGCUCUGAGAUGAUCUGACAGAGGAGGAAAGGAUUCUGUUCAGGUUCACAAACAAGUCACCACAAUACAUUGAUAUUAACCUAAAAUGACAUCCCAGCCCUAAAUGGUGGCCUCAAAGGUAUGUAGCCUAGAGAAUUUCUGCUAGUGGACAAAACCCUGAAUAAUAUUCUUGCUUUCAACUUUGUAUAGAAGGGGAAGAGUCCUGGGUAAUAAAUAUACAUUGACUUGAAGCAGUGAUAAAUGCCUAGUUUGUUGAUCAAGUGUCUGGAAGGUCAGAAGACUGGACCAAGCGAUCUGGAAAAGAGUUAUGUGAAUAGACCUAUUGAAGUUGGAACUAACUUGAAAGCAUGUACAAGAGAACAGGCUUUAACUAUCUACACGAUGAGGAUGGACUGUGCUCUGACAUGAUCCAGCCUAAGGAUAUUCCAGUGAUGGCACAAUAAGCACAUGGACAGAGUGUCUAUACUGGCAAGGAUGUUUUAUGCUUGGGCUCAGAGACACGAGCUCCCUACCAUAAAUGCUGAUCUGCCGUCUGCCCCCUCUGAGUGUCCAACAUGCCAGUAGCAGAAUCCAUGCCUGAGCACUCAAUGUGAUGCCUAUCUCUGGGAAAAUAUUUAUGUGACUGAUAGCGGGUUAAUUAUACAAAACUUCUUCCACCCUGAAAGUGAAAGCAAUUGCUCCUAAUCAGAAACAAUAGACACUGUAGACAUAGAUUUGCCUCCCAUCUCCAUAGUGCCUUCAUCUACACCAACAUUUGACAACUUGCAGACAGAUUGAUACAUUGAUAUAAUAUCCCUUAAAGAUUGCCUAGGACCUUUUAGGGCAAAGGAGAUAUAAAAUUUUCUCAUGAUCUCAGAAUUCACUGAUCUUACCAUAUAGCCCAUCACCCGUAAGCUUCUAGCUUCAUAGAAGAGGGGAAAGGAUUGUUAAGAGCUCAAUCAAGGGACUAGCUAGAAGUCAGCGCUGGAGGAGACAGGAUGCUGUCUUCAGGAUUCAGAGUAUGCAUUGAAUGCUGAACCGAUGCCUGAUAUGCGGUGUGGAGUCCCCAUUUGCCUGCCAUACAUCAUUCUGAGAUCCAAAGGGUGAAAGUGAGUGUUUUCUAUUUUUUACACUCCCAGAAACUCACUUUCUUAGUCUUCAGAUUCAUGAGGACAGAAGUCCCGGUUUCUAGAGAGAAGAAGAUAUUUUCCAGGAACACAGCAGGAACACUAUUUUGUGCUCCUUACACAAAUGGACCGGCAUGCAAAAAAAAAAAUAGUUACUAUUUUUACUAGGGUACUUGAUUCUGGUUUUUAUGAGUAGCUAGUGUUGUUAUAAUGGAUUAGGACAGAGAUGAUUAUAUCCAGAAUGCAGAGAAUGUAGUGGAAUCUCUCUUAGCACUUGCACACCAGGGAUAACUGUAACUGGACAAUUGCAGCAACUACAGUAAAUAAGAACAAGGCAACUAGGGAUCAAACUCUUAUAGAUAAAGCUUUCAGUCACCCCACAAGGCAGACAUCCCAAACCAACUGAAGUUCUGGCCAAGGGUGAAAGAAAUCAAGGGUGAGAAAAUGGGUGCUGGAAGAGGAAGAUGUUCUCUAUCAGCUAUGGUUCUGGGAAUUGUUGCAACACUAAGGAAGUUUUCUCAGUUGUGUUUUUCUUUAGGUCUAGUUUGGAAAACAGGACUGGUCGCAAUCCUAAGGACAUUCUCAAUUACUACCUCCCAGUCUCUGGCCACAUGCUCAAUCAAUUGCGAACCCCGGAUGUUACCUCGUUCAUCUCACCCUCUCACACUGCUGGCUGCUUUGACCUUCCCUGGGAGAGGACUGUUUUCUGGCAUGGUCUCUAGUGUAACUGCUAUGGCCAUUUUCUACACAGACAGGUCAACAAUCAUCUUGGGAGCUGUGACUGAAGAGUAACAAAU